rnacentral:pre_miRNA from 1 species
GGGGGCCCUCGUCUUACCCAGCAGUGUUUGGGUGCCUGUUGGGAGUCUCUAAUACUGCCGGGUAAUGAUGGAGGCCCCU